rnacentral:tRNA from 1 species
AAAAUAUUAAGUUAAAUUAAACUAUUGACCUUCAAAGUCAAAAAUUCCUUUAAGAAUGUUUUG